GAUGAAGAACGCAGCGAAAUGCGAUAAGUAAUGUGAAUUGCAGAAUUCAGUGAAUCAUCGAAUCUUUGAACGCACAUUGCGCCCCUUGGUAUUCCGAGGGGCAUGCCUGUUCGAGCGUCAUUACACCACUCAAGCUAUGCUUGGUAUUGGGCGUCGUCCUUAGUUGGGCGCGCCUUAAAGACCUCGGCGAGGCCACUCCGGCUUUAGGCGUAGUAGAAUUUAUUCGAACGUCUGUCAAAGGAGAGGAACUCUGCCGACUGAAACCUUUAUUUCUCUAGGUUGACCUCGGAUCAGGUAGGGAUACCCGCUGAACUUAAGCAUAUCAAUAAGCGGAGGA
rnacentral:misc_RNA from 1 species